rnacentral:rRNA from 1 species
GACGAAGGUGGCAAGCGUUGUUCGGAAUCACUGGGCAUAAAGCGCACGUAGGCGGCUUUGUAAGUCAGGUGUGAAAGCCCUCGGCUCAACCGAGGAACUGCGCCUGAUACUGCGAGGCUUGAGGUCCGGAGGGGAGAGUGGAAUUCCCGGUGGAGCGGUGAAAUGCGUAGAGAUCGGGAAGAACGCCGGCGGCGAAAGCGACUCUCUGGACCGGAACUGACGCUGAGGCGCGAAAGCGUGGGGAGCAAACAGG